rnacentral:tRNA from 1 species
ACCUGGCUGGCUCAGUCAGUAGAGCAUAUGACUCUUGAUCUCAGGGUUGUGAGUUCAAGCCCCAUGUUAGGUG